GUGGGGAAUAUUGGACAAUGGGCGAAAGCCUGAUCCAGCCAUGCCGCGUGUGUGAAGAAGGUCUUCGGAUUGUAAAGCACUUUAAGUUGGGAGGAAGGGCAGUAAGUUAAUACCUUGCUGUUUUGACGUUACCGACAGAAUAAGCACCGGCUAACUUCGUGCCAGCAGCCGCGGUAAUACGAAGGGUGCAAGCGUUAAUCGGAAUUACUGGGCGUAAAGCGCGCGUAGGUGGUUUUGUAAGUUGGAGGUGAAAUCCCCGGGCUCAACCUGGGAACUGACUCCAAAACUGCAUGACUAGAGUACGGUAGAGGGUAGUGGAAUUUCCUGUGUAGCGGUGAAAUGCGUAGAUAUAGGAAGGAACACCAGUGGCGAAGGCGACUACCUGGACUGAUACUGACACUGAGGUGCGAAAGCGUGGGGAGCAAACAGGAUUAGAUACCCCGGUAGUCC
rnacentral:rRNA from 1 species